rnacentral:rRNA from 1 species
GACGAACGCUGGCGGCGUGCUUAACACAUGCAAGUCGAACGGAAAGGCCCUGCUUUUGUGGGGUGCUCGAGUGGCGAACGGGUGAGUAACACGUGAGUAACCUGCCCUUGACUUUGGGAUAACUUCAGGAAACUGGGGCUAAUACCGGAUAGGAGCUCCUGCUGCAUGGUGGGGGUUGGAAAGUUUCGGCGGUUGGGGAUGGACUCGCGGCUUAUCAGCUUGUUGGUGGGGUAGUGGCUUACCAAGGCUUUGACGGGUAGCCGGCCUGAGAGGGUGACCGGCCACAUUGGGACUGUGCUACGGCCCAGACUCCUACGGGAGGCAGCAGUGGGGAAUAUUGCACGAUGGGCGGAAGCCUGAUGCAGCGACGCCGCGUGCGGGAUGACGGCCUUCGGGUUGUAAACCGCUUUCGCCUGUGACGAAGCGUGAGUGACGGUAAUGGGUAAAGAAGCACCGGCUAACUACGUG